GAAAAUGGUUGAUAUAUUCAAAAAGUUUGGAUAAAGUAUUUUGCUUUUGUUGUAAGCUAUUUAAGAAUGAUGGGAUCAGAACCCAAUUGUCACAUGAUGGAGUAAAUGAUUGGAAAAAUGUUGGUGAAAAACUUAAAAUGCAUGAAGCAAGUUGUGACCACAUCAAUAACAUGAAUAAAUGGAUAGAAAUGAAAUUAAGAUUUGAAAACACUGAGACAAUUGACAAAAGUGUGCAAGAACAAAUCAAUAGAGAUAGAGAACAUUGGAGACAAGUAUUAUUGAGAAUAAUAUCUGUGGUGAAAACUCUUGCUGAGAAUAAUUUAGCAUUUCGUGGGGACAACGAGAAGAUAUAUCAAGAAAAUAAUGGUAUCUUUUUAAGCAUAAUUCAAAUGAUUGCUGAGUUCGACCCCGUAAUGCAAGAGCAUAUUCGUCGAAUAAAAAGUAAAGAGAUUCAUUAUCAUUAUCUAGGACACAAAAUUCAGAAUGAGUUGAUACUUAUGUUAGCGGGCGAAAUAAAAAAAAUAAUCAUUGAGAAACUCAAAAUUUCUAAAUACUUUUCUGUUAUACUUGAUUGCACUCCAGAUACAAGCCACGAAGAACAAAUGUCAAUGAUAUUGAGGUGUGUAGAUAUUUCGACAAGUCCAGUGAAGGUUGAAGAAUUCUUUUUAGGGUUUUUAUUAGUUGAUGAUACAUCAGGUAAGGGGCUUUUUGAGGAAUUGGUGGAUGCUUUGAAUAAUCUAGAACUUGAUAUUGAU
rnacentral:lncRNA from 1 species